CCUACGGGAGGCAGCAGUGAGGAAUAUUGGUCAAUGGACGAGAGCCUGAACCAGCCAAGUAGCGUGAAGGAUGAAUGUCCUAUGGGUUGUAAACUUCUUUUAUAAAGGAAUAAAACGAGGCACGUGUGCCUUUGUGAAUGUACUUUAUGAGUAAGGAUCGGCUAACUCCGUGCCAGCAGCCGCGGUAAUACGGAGGAUCCGAGCGUUAUCCGGAUUUAUUGGGUUUAAAGGGAGCGUAGAUGGGUUGUUAAGUCAGUUGUGAAAGUUUGCGGCUCAACCGUAAAAUUGCAAUUGAUACUGGCAGUCUUGAGUACAGUUGAGGUAGGCGGAAUUCGUGGUGUAGCGGUGAAAUGCUUAGAUAUCACGAAGAACCCCGAUUGCGAAGGCAGCUUACUAAACUGUGACUGACAUUGAUGCUCGAAAGUGUGGGUAUCAAACAGGAUUAGAUACCCGUGUAGUC
rnacentral:rRNA from 1 species